AUUGAACGCUGGCGGCAGGCCUAACACAUGCAAGUCUAGCGGCUGAAGGGAGCUUGCUCCUGGAUUCAGCAGCGGACGGGUGCGUAAUGCCUAGGAAUCUGCCUGGUAGUGGGGGAUAACGUCCGGACAAGGGCGCUACUACCGCAUACGUCCUGAGGGCGAACGUGUGGGACAUUCGGACCUCACGCUUUCCGAUGAGCCUAGGUCGGAUUAGCUAGUUGGUGGGGUAAAGGCCUACCAAGGCGACGAUCCGUAACUGGUGUGAGAGGAGGAUCAGGCACCCGGGAACUGGGACACCCCCCAGACCACUGUGGGAGGGAACAGCGGGGAACAGUGGACCGAGGUCGCAAGCCUGAUCCAGGCAUGGCGAGUGUGGCAAUAAGUGCCUUGGAUGGUAAAGCACUCUAAGUUGGGAGGAAGGGCAGUAAGUUAAUACCUUGCUGUGUUGACGUUACCAACAGAAUAAGCACCGGCUAACUUCGUG
rnacentral:rRNA from 1 species